rnacentral:rRNA from 1 species
GAGCUCGUAGGCGGUUUGUCGCGUCUGCUGUGAAAUCCCGAGGCUCAACCUCGGGCCUGCAGUGGGUACGGGCAGACUAGAGUGCGGUAGGGGAGAUUGGAAUUCCUGGUGUAGCGGUGGAAUGCGCAGAUAUCAGGAGGAACACCGAUGGCGAAGGCAGAUCUCUGGGCCGUAACUGACGCUGAGGAGCGAAAGGGUGGGGAGCAAACAGGCUUAGAUACCCUGGUAGUCCACCCCGUAAACGUUGGGAACUAGUUGUGGGGUCCUUUCCACGGAUUCCGUGACGCAGCUAACGCAUUAAGUUCCCCGCCUGGGGAGUACGGCCGCAAGGCUAAAACUCAAAGGAAUUGACGGGGACCCGCACAAGCGGCGGAGCAUGCGGAUUAAUUCGAUGCAACGCGAAGAACCUUACCAAGGCUUGACAUACACGAGAACGGGCCAGAAAUGGUCAACUCUUUGGACACUCGUGAACAGGUGGUGCAUGGUUGUCGUCAGCUCGUGUCGUGAGAUGUUGGGUUAAGUCCCGCAACGAGCGCAACCCUCGUUCUAUGUUGCCAGCACGUUAUGGUGGGAACUCAUGGGAUACUGCCGGGGUCAACUCGGAGGAAGGUGGGGAUGACGUCAAAUCAUCAUGCCCCUUAUGUCUUGGGCUUCACGCAUGCUACAAUGGCCGGUACAAAGGGCUGCAAUACCGUGAGGUGGAGCGAAUCCCAAAAAGCCGGUCCCAGUUCGGAUUGAGGUCUGCAACUCGACCUCAUGAAGUCGGAGUCGCUAGUAAUCGCAGAUCAGCAACGCUGCGGUGAAUACGUUCCCGGGUCUUGUACACACCGCCCGUCAAGGCAUGAAAGUCGGUAACACCUGAAGCCGGUGGCCUAACCCUUGUGGAGGGAGCCGUCGAAGGUGGGAUCGGUAAUUAGGACUAAGUCGUAACAAGGUAGCCGUACCGGAAGGUGCGGCUGGAUCACCUCC